rnacentral:rRNA from 1 species
CUGCGGAGGGUGCAAGCGUUAUUCGGAAUCACUGGGCGUAAAGGACGCGUAGGCGGGUUGGCAAGUCAGAUGUGAAAUCCUACAGCUUAACUGUAGAACUGCAUUUGAAACUGCUAACCUAGAGUAUGGGAGGGGGGGAUGGAAUUAGUGGUGUAGGGGUAAAAUCCGUAGAUAUCACUAGGAAUACCGAAAGCGAAGGCGAUCUCCUGGAACAUAACUGACGCUAAGGCGUGAAAGCGUGCGGAGCAAACAGGAUUAGAAACCCUAGUAGUCC